UGAGGGAUAUUGCACAAUGGGCGCAAGCCUGAUGCAGCAACGCCGCGUGAGGGAUGACGGUUUUCGGAUUGUAAACCUCUGUCCUUAGUGACGAAUAAAUGACGGUAGCUAUGGAGGAAGCCACGGCUAACUACGUGCCAGCAGCCGCGGUAAUACGUAGGUGGCAAGCGUUGUCCGGAAUUACUGGGUGUAAAGGGAGCGCAGGCGGGAUAGCAAGUCAGCGGUGAAAUGUAUGGGCUUAACCCAUGAACUGCCGUUGAAACUGUUGUUCUUGAGUGGAGUAGAGGUAAGCGGAAUUCCGAGUGUAGCGGUGAAAUGCGUAGAUAUUCGGAGGAACACCAGUGGCGAAGGCGGCUUACUGGGCUCUAACUGACGCUGAGGCUCGAAAGUGUGGGGAGCAAACAGGAUUAGAUACCCUGGUAGU
rnacentral:rRNA from 1 species